GACGAACGCUGGCGGCGUGCCUAAUACAUGCAAGUAGAACGCUGAAGGAGGAGCUUGCUUCUCUGGAUGAGUUGCGAACGGGUGAGUAACGCGUAGGUAACCUGCCUGGUACCGGGGGAUAACUAUUGGAAACGAUAGCUAAUACCGCAUACGAGUAGAUGUUGCAUGACAUUUGCUUAAAAGGUUCAUUUGCAUCACUACCAGAUGGACCUGCGUUGUAUUAGCUAGUUGGUGGGGUAACGGCUCACCAAGGCGACGAUACAUAUCCGACAUGAGAGGGGGAGCGGCCAGCCUGGGACGGAGACACGGCCCAGACUCCUACGGAAAGCAGCAGUAGGGAAUCUUCGGCAAUGAGUGGAAGUCUGAGCAAGCAAGGCCGAGUGAGUGAAGAAGGUUUUCGGAUCGGAAAUCACUGUUGUCAGAGAAGAACGAGUGUGAGAGUGGAAAGUUCACACUGUGACGGUAUCUUAACAGAAAGGAACGGCUAACUACGUG
rnacentral:rRNA from 1 species